GAGCAGUCCUGGCUGGACCGGUGGCCCAUGGGGCCGCCGUUGUGGGACCAGUCGCUCCCGGAGCUGUCAUUGCAGGACCUCACCAUGGUGCCUCCGCUGUCGUAGGUCCAGUCCAUGGCCCAUCCGUCGUAGCAGGCCCCGUCCAUGGCCCAUCCGUCGUUGCUGGACCUGUCCACGGACCUAGCGCUGUCGUCGGCCCAGUUAACCAUGGAGCCGUUCUUGCUGGACCCGUCAACCAUGGCGCCAUCCUCACUCCCCCAGUCAACCACGGUGCCAUCAUCACCCCACCAAUCGCUCAUGGUGCUGUCAUCGCUGG
rnacentral:misc_RNA from 1 species